rnacentral:rRNA from 1 species
AUUGAACGCUGGCGGCAGGCCUAACACAUGCAAGUCGAACGGUAACAGGAAGAAGCUUGCUUCUUUGCUGACGAGUGGCGGACGGGUGAGUAAUGUCUGGGAAACUGCCUGAUGGAGGGGGAUAACUACUGGAAACGGUAGCUAAUACCGCAUAACGUCGCAAGACCAAAGAGGGGGACCUUCGGGCCUCUUGCCAUCGGAUGUGCCCAGAUGGGAUUAGCUAGUAGGUGGGGUAACGGCUCACCUAGGCGACGAUCCCUAGCUGGUCUGAGAGGAUGACCAGCCACACUGGAACUGAGACACGGUCCAGACUCCUACGGGAGACAGCAGUGGGGAAUAUUGCACAAUGGGCGCAAGCCUGAUGCAGCCAUGCCGCGUGUAUGAAGAAGGCCUUCGGGUUGUAAAGUACUUUCAGCGGGGAGGAAGGGAGUAAAGUUAAUACCUUUGCUCAUUGACGUUACCCGCAGAAGAAGCACCGGCUAACUCCGUG